CGACCAAGGCGACCAAGACGACUUUUUAAGACUAGAAGGUGAUCUGCUCCUCAUAUGGCUCAUAUCAGGUGUCUAAAGAAGACAGUUUUCUGAGGAUGUGGGUCAUGAUUGCUGCUGAAGAUCUGAAGGGCAGCAGUGCUCGGGACACUCCCAACACUUCCAUCCCUGCAUAUUUCCUUGAGCUCCUGAAGGGAGAGAGCAAAUCUUCAUGCUGUGUAUUCUGGAAAUGAUGCUGGAGCAAGACAGACAGAUCUCCCUGGGCAAGCAUUAUAUCCAAAUCAGAAACUCUGGAACAUUCUUGACUUGGGGAGGAACAGUUUCCCAUUGAUUCUGAGGUAGAGCAGACAACAUGGAUGCUGGACCAAAGAUGAGAGUCAAGACACUGGACACCUCCCUGACUGCAGAUUCUUGGGUAGUGUCCUGAAGAGCGGAGGCAUUUUUUUCCUUAGUGUGAAAAGCAAGAAGACAAAGAGCCAAGAAGAGCAUUUCCAGUUUGAUGGAACAGUCCGUGCUGGCGGUUGCUAUAGUAACCUGACGUCAUCAUCGUGAUCAUGACAAUUUUUCACUAGAGACUUCCAUGGCCUGGCAGUAAAAGCAGGGCCUUGUCUUCAGGUAUUUGGACUCAUAGAGGGUAUGAACAGAGUUCUUCCCAUUGCCUGAAUCUGAACCUUGUU